ACUAUAUCUUGGUGAAUCUGUUCUCCUUUUGUAUGCAAUAGAUAUAGCCGCCUAGUUAAAGUUUAUCUACUUUCCAAUAUUGCCAGACGAUAGUUUUCCAUUUGUUCGAGUAUCUCAAAUUCAUGGUGCCCAUGCUCAUGUGAGUUCAUACUUAUUUGGCUGUGGAUUAUCUUCAAUAAAAACGGACCACACCAAUCAAAGCCAUUGGAGAAAAUAACUGCUAAAAAUGAAAGGGAUUGUGGGCUGUCGGGUUCAUUUUCAACUCCCCACAACAAUUUUGCCAAUGUUGGUGCCUCCCACGAGCUCCUGUGCAUAUUUCAAACCAACCCAAAAGCCACUGAGCUUUACACAGACACAUUGGAGCAAUUUUUUUGCCAAACCAUUUGACCUUAAUAAUAAUAGUAAUAACAAACCAGCUUCAUUCUCAGCAACCAUAAUAGUUCCCAGAAAGCAAUGGAGCAGAAAAUAUUCAUCGUCAUCCUCCAGAGUGAGUAUGAGCCUAAGAACUGGAAUUGUUGGCCUGCCCAAUGUGGGGAAAUCUACUCUUUUCAAUGCUUUGGUUGAAAAUGGAAAAGCUCAAGCAGCCAAUUUUCCGUUCUGCACAAUAGAACCCAAUGUGGGAGUUGUUGGUGUGCCAGAUCCACGCUUAGAUGUGCUUUCUCAACUCAGUAAAUCACAACGUACGGUACCAGCUUCAAUGGAGUUUGUAGACAUUGCAGGACUUGUAAAGGGAGCCAGCCAAGGAGAGGGUUUGGGGAAUAAAUUCCUUUCACAUAUUCGUGAAGUUGACUCCAUAGUACAGGUUGUGCGUUGUUUUGAAGAUAAUGACAUUGUUCACGUGAAUGGAAAAAUUGAUCCAAAAUCGGACAUAGAAAUAAUCAAUCUAGAACUGGCCUUUUCCGAUCUUGAACAGAUUGAGAGGAGAAUGGACAGGCUGAAGAAAAGUAAGGCAAAAGAUUCCCAAACAAAGGUUAAGGAGGCAGCUGAGCUGGCUGCAUUACAACAGAUCCAUGGAGCACUGCUAUCAGGAAAGCCGGCACGAUCAGUAACGUUGUCAGAUUAUGAAAAUGAUGCUGUUAAGCAUCUUUGUUUACUUACAAUGAAACCUGUGAUAUAUGUGGCAAAUGUGGCUGAAUCUGACCUGGUUGAAACCACCAAUAACCCGUACGUUAAAGAGCUGGUGGAAGUUGCAUCGAAUUUCAAAUCUGAAGUUGUGACUGUCUCAGCACAGGUAGAGGCUGAAUUAACUGAGCUCCAGCCAGAAGAGAGAUCUGAGUUUCUGCAAUCUCUUGGAGUUAGCGAGGGAGGACUAGGAUCUCUAAUAAGGGCAACAUACAAUCUUUUGGGUCUGCGUACCUAUUUCACUUCUGGAGAAAAGGAGACUAAAGCAUGGACAAUACUUGCAGGGAUGACAGCACCACAAGCAGCUGGAGUGAUUCACUCUGAUUUUGAAAAGGGAUUCAUACGUGCAGAGACAGUAUCCUACACUGAUUAUGUUGCUGCUGGCUCAUUGGUAGCUGCGAAAGAGAAAGGAUUAGUGAGAUCUGAAGGCAAGGAUUAUAUUGUACAAGAAGGAGAUGUGGUGCUGUUUCGAUUUAAUGUGUAAUUCCAUUUUUAAAGGAUCUCAAAUCUCUAUCCUUGCUUAAAAGGCAUACACUAUAUGCAACUCUUAUCGCAAGCUCCUACAGUUAUGAAUUGGCAGGGAACAAAAAUGUCUAAUCUGAGCAAGCAUAAAAGCUUGUUCUGAGAAAUCGAGAUUGGAUGUCCAAUCAAAUACUUCCCAAUAGUAUAUUCGAGUAUUGGUUGCAAGAGUCAAUUGAAUUUACUCUUCAAAUGAGGUUGAAAGUAUGCACGGAUCAGAUCAGAUUCCUGAGGACGAUAUCCUUGCAUUCAGGCUUUAUAUUGUAAGGCAUUAUUUCCAAUUCAAGAAUAGAUGAGUAAGACUUGAUAGUUUUAUGUGAGGAGAUGGUGAUUAUUAUUUUUAUAAAUCACGUUGAUUGAUGGAUACUUGAAGAUAUUUUGACCACAUGCUAAAGAGGUUUGUAAUUUUGACAUUAUAUUCUUUGCAACUUGUGGAACACAUGUUUGAGCAAAUUAAUUCAAAUUUCAUCUGAAGGCCA